rnacentral:rRNA from 1 species
UACGUAGGGUGCGAGCGUUAAUCGGAAUUAACUGGGCGUAAAGCGUGCGCAGGCGGUUCGUUGUGUCGGUGGUGAAAUCCCCCGGGCUUAACCUGGGAAUUGCGCUUGAAACUAGGUCGCUAGAGUGUGGCAGAGGGGGGGUGGAAUUCCACGUGUAGCAGUGAAAUGCGUAGAGAUGUGGAGGAACACCGGUGGCGAAGGCGGCCGUGCUGGGCAGUUGCUGACACUGAGGCGCGAACACGUGGGGAGCAAACAGG